rnacentral:rRNA from 1 species
AUGCGGGCGAGCUGCAACGGCUGCCGGGUGCUGCGCAAGGGCUGCGCCGACGACUGCACCAUCCGCCCCUGCCUGGCCUGGAUCCGGAGCCCCGACGCGCAGGCCAACGCCACCGUCUUCCUCGCCAAGUUCUACGGCCGCGCGGGGCUCAUCAACCUGCUCGCCGCCGCCCCCGACGACGCCCAGCGCCCGGCGCUCUUCCGCUCGCUGCUCUACGAGGCCAACCCCGUCUUCGGCGCCUCCGGGCUCUUCUCCACGGGGAACUGGGAGGCCUGCCAGGCCGCCGUCCAGGCCGUGCUCGAGGGCCGCCCCAUCCCCCAGGUCGCCGCCGACCAGGCCGCCCCGCACCCCGGCCUCCUCGCGGCCUACGGCGUUCGCCAUAUCCCCAAGGACGGCAUUGACCGUGCGUCCGCCGCACUCCGCGCCUCGCGCGCAAGCUUCAAGCGCGCGUCCUCCUCCUCUUCCACGGCCAGACCCGAGCGCAACGGUGGCCUCGGCGAGGAGACGGCCGGCAGCAGCCACGACCACGCUGUUGAAGACGACGGCGAGGCGCUGGCAGACAAGCAGAAGAGGGUACAAUCGUUCUCGUCGGAGGCCGAGGCGGGCUCGCACGUGAGCCAGGCAGAGCAGAGCGCGAGCGCCCCUGUGCCGCAGGUGGCACAGGACGACGGCGAAAUUGACCUGGAGCUCACCCUCGGGUUCGGGCCAGCCGCGCGCGUGCUGAGGUCGCCGCCGGCACGCUUCGAGGCUAGCAGAUUGAGCACCAAGUCGGGCCACGCCGGUCUGCUGCUUGGGCUGCCGGCGUGA